CGCGCAGGCGGUCUUUUAAGUCUGAUGUGAAAGCCCACGGCUCAACCGUGGAGGGUCAUUGGAAACUGGAAGACUUGAGUGCAGAAGAGAAGAGCGGAAUUCCACGUGUAGCGGUGAAAUGCGUAGAGAUGUGGAGGAACACCAGUGGCGAAGGCGGCUCUUUGGUCUGUAACUGACGCUGAGGCGCGAAAGCGUGGGGAGCAAACAGGAUUAGAUACCCUGGUAGUCCACGCCGUAAACGAUGAGUGCUAAGUGUUGGGGGGUUUCCGCCCCUCAGUGCUGCAGCUAACGCAUUAAGCACUCCGCCUGGGGAGUACGGCCGCAAGGCUGAA
rnacentral:rRNA from 1 species